rfam:Moniliophthora roreri strain MCA 2952 kmer90.96882, whole genome shotgun sequence.
GCUGGGAUGGCCGAGUCGUUAAGGCGAGUGAUUUGAAUCGCUGGAAAAGGAAUGAUUCAGCAUCACUUGGUGUUUCACCGCGUAGGUUCAAAUCCUGCUCCCAGCG